GUUUAAACCGCGUAACAUAAUUUUAUUCACACAUAAAAUGUUGUAUGACAAAAAGCACGAUGCCAAUUAAUUGUGUUUUUCUGUAAAUUGUGAACGUAUCCGUUAUAAUGGUUUAUUCGCUAUUCCACGGGAUGUUCCCGCCGAAAUUGGACUACGGUUACAUGAAUAUGAUUGUAAUAUGAAUAUUAAUCAAUUAAUAUUAUAUCGGGUGUUAUCAACUUAACCACAUUGUUGUUUAUUGCUUCAGAAAAGCACAUAAAUGUAAGGGCUUUUUGGACAACUGUUCGGUAGAAAAGCGUUGAUAUCGUAGUUCAGUCAGUUUAUCCGAGAGGUCUUACAGGCGCCACAGACACCUCUGUCAGAGUCAUUUGUAAAGAGGAGCAGCACGGCAGCUGGAUGAGUGCGGUCAGUUAAUUAAUGCUGCUUGCUUAAUUUCGUGUUACUGAUUAAGUGUUUAUACUUAAAGUUAGAUGAUAUGUUGGUGUUUUAUGGCUCGCGGAUUUGCAAUAACUGCAUUUAUCAGGCAAUCACACGUUACGUCACACGCUUAUGCUUGUACCUGCGGUCGCUCGCGCUGUAUCCACAAUUUAAAGCAGAGAAUAGACUCUGAACUCCUUUGUAAGAAAAAGUCAAGCAGUGUAAGUUUUUGGCAUGUGCUAUUUGAAUUGAAAUGAAGUGUAAUGGUGUUAUUUUGCUUACUUCUCUUGAUGAAUAAUUAGCACGUUUAAUGGAACUUGAAAAUAUUAGUUAUAUAUAAAUGUGCUCUUGUUUUCAGUGUAUUUUUAUAAAUCUUUUGUAAUGUCUUUGUUAUCAGAGCCCUUCAAAUUAAACAGUGAUGGUGAUCUUGUCAAUGCUGAGAUUUUAAUGCAUCAACAGCCAUUACAUCUGUCUGGAUCAGGAUUGAACAAGAAACAGACAGCAAGGGUUGUCAGGUCAGAAACGUGAUGACACACAAACAUAUGAAACUUCACAGGCGGCAAUUUCUUUUUCCACUGGUGGGUGCUCAUCACAACCUCCAGCUUUACUGGACACCAGGUGCUCUGGAGCGCUCAAAAGCUUUGAAGAGGUGGAAAGCAGUGCAGUCAUGUUUUCGUGUGAUUUUAGAUGCGAAUUGUAAAGUUAAAGGCAGACCACCAUGCAACUUGGUGAAGUCACGUGUCUUUCCAGAUGCCAAAAUCUGUACCCCUCAAAAAGACUUUAUUAAAUGCCAUGAUAGCCAAGAUGAGCCUGAAGAGGAGAUUUGGGAAGAUGCUGUUUCAUAAGUCUUUGUUUUGCCAGAUUAUCUGUGGUAGGGGUGUCUGCCAACGUGAUGCCUUGCUGGUCUGGUUUGAGUUUGAAGUCUCUCACAGACAGUCCAGAAGGUCUGGAGUCCAUCUUAGCUUUCAUUGAUGCUGUCAUCAUAUUGUUAGUGCAUGAGCCAGAAUGGAUGGGUGGUGGUGGCCAUAAGACGACUGUCAACUAAACCAACAACAAAAUUCAUAUUUGCAGUAAUAAAUAAAAUGACUUUUAAACAUG